UAAUACUGGAUACGACCCCCUGUCGCAUGGUGGGGGGUGGAAAGGGUUUGACUGGUUUUGGAUGGGCUCACGGCCUAUCAGCUUGUUGGUGGGGUAAUGGCUCACCAAGGCGACGACGGGUAGCCGGCCUGAGAGGGUGACCGGCCACACUGGGACUGAGACACGGCCCAGACUCCUACGGGAGGCAGCAGUGGGGAAUAUUGCACAAUGGGCGGAAGCCUGAUGCAGCGACGCCGCGUGAGGGAUGACGGCCUUCGGGUUGUAAACCUCUUUCAGCAGGGAAGAAGCCACAAGUGACGGUACCUGCAGAAGAAGCGCCGGCUAACUACGUGCCAGCAGCCGCGGUAAUACGUAGGGCGCAAGCGUUGUCCGGAAUUAUUGGGCGUAAAGAGCUCGUAGGCGGUUUGUCGCGUCUGCUGUGAAAGCCCGGGGCUCAACCCCGGGUCUGCAGUGGGUACGGGCAGACUAGAGUGCAGUAGGGGAGACUGGAAUUCCUGGUGUAGCGGUGAAAUGCGCAGAUAUCAGGAGGAACACCGAUGGCGAAGGCAGGUCUCUGGGCUGUUACUGACGCUGAGGAGCGAAAGCAUGGGGAGCGAACAGGAUUAGAUACCCUGGUAGUCCAUGCCGUAAACGUUGGGCACUAGGUGUGGGGGACAUUCCACGUUCUCCGCGCCGUAGCUAACGCAUUAAGUGCCCCGCCUGGGGAGUACGGCCGCAAGGCUAAAACUCAAAGGAAUUGACGGGGGCCCGCACAAGCGGCGGAGCAUGCGGAUUAAUUCGAUGCAACGCGAAGAACCUUACCAAGGCUUGACAUUCACCGGACCGCCUCAGAGAUGGGGUUUCCCUUCGGGGUCGGUGGACAGGUGGUGCAUGGUUGUCGUCAGCUCGUGUCGUGAGAUGUUGGGUUAAGUCCCGCAACGAGCGCAACCCUCGUUCUAUGUUGCCAGCACGUGAUGGUGGGGACUCAUAGGAGACUGCCGGGGUCAACUCGGAGGAAGGUGGGGAUGACGUCAAAUCAUCAUGCCCCUUAUGUCUUGGGCUUCACGCAUGCUACAAUGGCCGGUACAAAGGGUUGCGAUACUGUGAGGUGGAGCUAAUCCCAAAAAGCCGGUCUCAGUUCGGAUUGAGGUCUGCAACUCGACCUCAUGAAGUCGGAGUCGCUAGUAAUCGCAGAUCAGCAACGCUGCGGUGAAUACGUUCCCG
rnacentral:rRNA from 1 species